rnacentral:rRNA from 1 species
AUUGAACGCUGGCGGCAGGCCUAACACAUGCAAGUCGAACGGUAACAGAGAGUAGCUUGCUACUUUGCUGACGAGUGGCGGACGGGUGAGUAAUGUCUGGGGAUCUGCCUGAUGGAGGGGGAUAACUACUGGAAACGGUAGCUAAUACCGCAUAAUGUCGCAAGACCAAAGCGGGGGACUUUCUGGACUCGCCCCAUCAGAUGAACCCAGAUUGGAUUAGCCAGUAGGUAGGGUAAUGGCUCACCAAGGCGAUGACGGGUAGGCGGGCUGAGAGGCUGACCGCCGACAUUGGGACUGAGAUACUGCCCAGACUCCUACGGGAGGCUGCAGUCGAGAAUCUUCCGCAAUGGACGCACGUCUGACGGAGCGACGCCGCGUGCGGGAUGAAGGUCUUUGGAUUGUAAACCGCUGUCACGCGUUAUGAAUGCGCGGCAGUGAACACCUGCCGCGUUGACAAAGGCGCGAGAGGAAGCCACGGCUAACUCUGUGCCAGCCGCCGCGGUAA